rnacentral:rRNA from 1 species
CCUACGGGAGGCAGCAGUGGGGAAUAUUGGACAAUGGGCGGAAGCCUGAUCCAGUCAUGCCGCGUGUGUGAAGAAGGCCUUAUGGUUGUAAAGCACUUUAAGCGAGGAGGAGGCUACCAGUAUUAAUACUACUGGAUAGUGGACGUUACUCGCAGAAUAAGCACCGGCUAACUCUGUGCCAGCAGCCGCGGUAAU